GAUGAACGCUGGCGGCGUGCCUAAUACAUGCAAGUCGAGCGAACAGACGAGGAGCUUGCUCCUCUGACGUUAGCGGCGGACGGGUGAGUAACACGUGGAUAACCUACCUAUAAGACUGGGAUAACUUCGGGAAACCGGAGCUAAUACCGGAUAACAUGUUGAACCGCAUGGUUCAACAGUGAAAGACGGUUUUGCUGUCACUUAUAGAUGGAUCCGCGUCGCAUUAGCUAGUUGGUAAGGUAACGGCUUACCAAGGCAACGAUGCGUAGCCGACCUGAGAGGGGGAUCGGCCACACUGGAACUGAGACACGGUCCAGACUCCUACGGGAGGCAGCAGUAGGGAAUCUUCCGCAAUGGGCGAAAGCCUGACGGAGCAACGCCGCGUGAGUGAAGAAGGUCUUCGGAUCGUAAAACUCUGUUAUUAGGGAAGAACAAAUGUGUAAGUAACUAUGCACGUCUUGACGGUACCUAAUCAGAAAGCCACGGCUAACUACGUG
rnacentral:rRNA from 1 species